rnacentral:rRNA from 1 species
AUUGAACGCUGGCGGCAGGCCUAACACAUGCAAGUCGAGCGAGCGGCGGACGGGGGAGUAAUGUCUGGGCAACUGCCUGCUGGAGGGGGAUAACUACUGUAAACGGUAGCUAAUACCGCAUACCAUCAGAUGUGCCCAUAUGGGAUUAUCUAGGAGGUUGGGUAACGGCUCACCUAGGCGACGAUCCCUAGCUGGUCUGAGAGGAUGACCAGCAACACUGGAAAUGAGACACGGUCCAGAAUACUACGGGAGGCAGCAGUGGGGAAUAUUGCACAAUGGGCGCAAGCCUGAUGCAGCCAUGCCGCGUGUGUGAAGAAGGCCUUAGGGUUGUAAAGCACUUUCAGCGGGGAGGCGUUACCCGCAGAAGAAGCACCGGCUAACUCCGUGCCAGCAGCCGCGGUAAUUC